CCUACGGGGCGCAGCAGUCGAGAAUCAUUCACAAUGGGGGAAACCCUGAUGGUGCGACGCCGCGUGGGGGAAUGAAGGUCUUCGGAUUGUAAACCCCUGUCAUGUGGGAGCAAAUUAAAAAGAUAGUACCACAAGAGGAAGAGACGGCGAACUCUGUGCCAGCAGCCGCGGAAAUACAGAGGUCUCAAGCGUUGUUCGGAAUCAAUGGGCGUAAAGCGUGCGUAGGCUGUUUCGUAAGUCGUGUGUGAAAGGAGCGGGCUCAACCCGGGGACGGCAAAUGAUACUGCGAGACUAGAGUAAUGGAGGGGGAACCGGAAUUCUCGGUGUAGCAGUGAAAUGCGUAGAUAUCG
rnacentral:rRNA from 1 species